AGAGUUUGAUCCUGGCUCAGGAUGAACGCUAGCGGCGCGCCUUAUGCAUGCAAGUCGUACGGUUUCUCGCAAGAGAGACAGUGGCAAACGGGUGAGUAAUAGUUAGGUAACCUGCCUUUAAGUGGGGGAUAACACUUCGAAAGAAGUGCUAAUACCGCAUGUGGUGCUCUUUCAUAAGAAGGAUCACUAAAACCGCAAGGUGCUUGAAGAGGGGCCUGACUCCGAUUAGCUAGUUGGUGAGGUAACGGCCCACCAAGGCAGUGAUCGGUAGCUGGUCUGAGAGGAUGGUCAGCCACACUGGGACUGAGACACGGCCCAGACUCCUACGGGAGGCAGCAGCAAGGAAUCUUGGGCAAUGGGCGAAAGCCUGACCCAGCGACGCCGCGUGAGGGAUGAAGGCCUUCGGGUUGUAAACCUCUUUUCUCAGGGAAGAAUAAUGACGUACUGAGAAUA
rnacentral:rRNA from 1 species